rnacentral:rRNA from 1 species
UACGUAGGGUGCGAGCGUUGUCCGGAAUUAUUGGGCGUAAAGAGCUCGUAGGCGGUGUGUCGCGUCGGCCGUGAAAACCUGGGGCUUAACUCUGGGCGUGCGGUCGAUACGGGCAUCACUAGGGUUCGGCAGGGGAGACUGGAAUUCCUGGUGUAGCGGUGAAAUGCGCAGAUAUCAGGAGGAACACCGGUGGCGAAGGCGGGUCUCUGGGCCGAUACUGACGCUGAGGAGCGAAAGCGUGGGGAGCGAACAGG